rnacentral:rRNA from 1 species
ACGCGUGGAACCUUACCAGCGUUUGACAUGUCCGGACGACUGGCAGAGAUGCCUUUCUUCCCUUCGGGGACUGGAACACAGGUGCUGCAUGGCUGUCGUCAGCUCGUGUCGUGAGAUGUUGGGUUAAGUCCCCGCAACGAGCGCAACCCUCGCCUUUAGUUACCAUCAUUUAGUUGGGUACUCUAAAGGAACCGCCGGUGAUAAGCCGGAGGAAGGUGGGGAUGACGUCAAGUCCUCAUGGCCCUUACGC